ensembl:lncRNA
GGCAGACUCGCUGUUCCACCUCUGGGAAGCAGAACGUUCUAGGCAGACUUCCUGUUCCACCUCUGGGAAGCAGAACGUUCUAGGCAGACUACCUGUUCCACCUCUGGGCAGCAGAACGUUCUAGGCAGACUACCUGUUCCACCUAUGUGCAGCAGAACAUUCUGGCAGACUAGCAUGUGUAUCAGGGCCGGUAGAGUCUGACAACGGGCGAGUGAGUUGUACAUCGUCCGGCACACUAUCAUUCAACUACUGCUUUAGACUGUCUCCUAUUGGUGAUGAUAAUCUACAUAGUUAUUCUGCUUUAGACUGUCUCCUAUUGGUGAUGAUAAUCUACAUAGUUAUUCUGCUUUAGACUGUCUCCUAUUGGUGGUGAUAAUCUACAUAGUUAUUCUGCUUUAGACUGUCUCCUAUUGGUGAUGAUAAUCAGAAGAUAUCUAGACAACAGAGUGGAACACUGAGCAGAAGAUAUCUGUUGGUCAGAGCUGUUGGUCAGAGCUGUAGGUCAGAGCUGUUGGUCAGAGCUGUUGGUCAGAGCUGUUGGUCAGAGCUGUUGGUCAGAGCUGUUGGUCAGAGCUGUUGGUCAGAGCUGUUGGUUAGAGCUGUUGGUCAGAGCUUUUAAUCAGAGCUGUUGGCCAGAGCUCCAAAGACCUAUCUCCAUUUAGUCAGAACCUAAUGCACAAUACGGUUUCCUGACUUCAUCUCAUGUGAAUAACAAUCCAUAAUGUCUGAUGGUCUUUAAUCACACUCCAACAUCUCCCAACAAAAUCUACAGACAGACAUGAUUAGAAUGGGUGGCAAUCUUUCAUUUACAACGACAACGGCAAUAGAAAUAGUGAAUUAAAGAGUUUUAUAUCGUCUAUAAUAUAGUACUCUCAAAACAACUACAAUUUAAAAAUGGUUCAUUAAGACGGACUCAUCAACACUCAAUUCAUACACUGUCAUAGUUUCACAUUGUUUGGAUGGGGACUAGAUGAAACCAUACUGGCUAGUUGUCUCAAGGCACAAAGAGGCAGAUAUUACAGAAGUACUGUAUGUCUGGUACACAGUAAAAUGGCAGAUAUACCAGUAGUACUGUACACAGUAAAAUGGCAGAUAUACCAGUAGUACUGUACACAGUAAAAUGGCAGAUAUACCAGUAGUACUGUACACAGUAAAAUGGCAGAUAUACCAGUAGUACUGUACACAGUAAAAUGGCAGAUAUACCAGUAGUACUGUACACAGUAAAAUGGCAGAUAUACCAGUAGUACUGUACACAGUAAAAUGACAGAUAUACCAGUAGUACUGUACACAGUAAAAUGGCAGAUAUACCAGUAGUACUGUACACAGUAAAAUGGCAGAUAUACCAGUAGUACUGUACACAGUAAAAUGACAGAUAUACCAGU